UACGUAGGGGCCUAGCGUUGUCCGGAUUUAUUGGGCGUAAAGAGCUCGUAGGCGGUUCGGUAAGUCAGGUGUGAAAUCUCCACGCUCAACGUGGAGGCGCCACCUGAAACUGCCGUGACUAGAGUCCGGUAGGGGAGAGUGGAAUUCCCGGUGUAGCGGUGAAAUGCGCAGAUAUCGGGAAGAACACCCGUGGCUAAGGCGGCUCUCUAGUACGGUACUGACGCUGAGACGCGAAAGCGUGGGGAGCGAACAGG
rnacentral:rRNA from 1 species